AUAGAUAUUCGAUCGUAUUGUGUCGCGUAAGGCCUAACAGUUGCGCACACGCGGCUGCCAUUUUAGUCGCAUCAGCGACGCGGACCGAGUCGCACUGCAUGUGAGGGUCCUCCAGCGCCACUAUUGUUGUCCUGGGCCAAGCGACUGCAGCGUUGAGUGUACAAGAGCACCAUCAGGUAAUCAAGAGCAAGAGACACGUCAGUGCUCUCCGGAACCUAUCCCUUGCUGCAGUUUCCAGCCUCCUCAAUCAGUUGAUAAUAACUCAGGAGAUAAAAAUGCAGCAGUUUUGUCACCAGAGCUAAUAAGACCACUGCCUAAAGCACCUCCCCGACUAAUUGGACAUACUAAAGCACGUAAAAGAAAGACAGCUGUUCUUACGGACACUCCAGAGAAAAAUGCUUUAGCA